CCUAGACAAGUUCCAGUCUCCUGAUUCCUGGACGUUCCAGGACGCCGUUGAAGGCACCCCAGUUUUUUCGUGCUGUAGGUGUCCCGAAGCCCAUCUCCCGCGCGCAGAGUGUCUAGUGUCCAUACCCAGCGAGCCCUGAUUCGACCCACGAGGACGCACAGGCCCAGAGAUUUGACUUCAAAGGACACUCCAGAUUCAGAAAUGACCAGCCAAAGUUAGGAUGCACCAGAGGCCUGUGUUUGGAGGUAUUGUACCUGGGCCCGCUGCCUGCCACCACAUGGCCCGCUACCACCAUUUGGGACCUACAGCAUUUCUGCUGCCUACUGCCACAGGAAUCUUGCAGCAUUUUUUAAAAAAGAAUAUUAGUACCUAUGCAGUUCAUUUAAAAAUCUAAGAUAAAAUUCUAGUUUUUAAAAGCUCUGGGUGACUGUCCAGACAGUCAGAUGUCUCUGUCAUUUCUAGAGUUUUUAGAAGUAAUUUGCAAUGCACUUUUUGUUUAUUUAAAUAAUAUUAUAUCCUCUGGUGCUUUUGAUGGAGUUGAAGACUAGAUAGUUAUAAUUGACAUUUUCCUUAAAUAUGAUAGCAAGUAAGUUAGGUAUAAAAUUUUGGAAUUCCUGAGAUAGGAUAGAUUACGGAGUAUUUUCUUUAAAUUUACCAGACACAAAUGAAUUGGAAUUUCGUAUACUGUGAAUGAAAUCUUUACUUGAUAAUUGUUCUUUUUGUACAUGGUCUUACUAUGUUAAAGUUAAAUUUUUUCACUUUUGUUUAGAAAGAAAAAGGGGGAAAUGUUGGGGAACAUUAUUUUCAGCUGUGUGACUUUCGUUUACACUGCAUCUCUCUAACUCUGUGAAACUGUGUCACUGUACCUACCUAAAACACCUGAUGGUCUAAUAAAGAGAUGAACAGCCAAUAGUGAGGCAAGAGCAAGGAUAGGUGGGGCUGGCAGGCAGAGAGGAUAAAAGGAGAAACUAGGAGAAACAGGAGAACAAGGAGAGGAAGACACCAGGGGCCAGCCAUCCAGCUACACAGCAAGUCACAGAGAAAGAAGUAAAGAAAGGCAUACAGAAGCAGAGAAAGAUAAAAGCCCAGAGGCAAAAGGUAGUUGGGAUAAUUUAGGUUAAGAAAAUCUGGCAAGAAACAAGCCAAGCUAAGUCUUGGUGUUCAUAACUAAGAAUAAGCCUCUGUGUUUGAUUUAUCUGGGAGCUGGGUGGUAGUCCCCCCAAAAAGUCAAAAGAGCAAAAUAUCUCACACAACACAUGAUACACACACAUACAUACAUACAGAUAAAACACCCACACAAAUAAAAUAAAUAAUUCCAAGAAAAUUGAAUACAUAAUUAUAAAUAAAUGUCAGACAACUUAGGUUGAUCCCCUUCUCUGAAGACUUAGUUAUAAAAAUAUCUGAAAACCAAAGCCUUGUUAUAGGCCUGGGCACAUAGCUCAGUUGGUAGAAUGCUGUCCUGGGAGGCACAGUACCCCAAGUUUGAUCCCCAGCAGCGUAAAGGGGGCGUGGAAGUAUAUAUCUGAAGUCCUACCACCUCUGAGGUGGAGGCAGGGAGAUCAGACAUUCAAACUCAUUCUUGUCUAUGAAGCAAGUUCAAGGCCAGCCUCGAACACCUGGAAUCCUGUCUUUAAAAGAAUUAUCCAGGCAUGGUAGCUCAUGCUUGUAGUUAAACACUAGAGAAGAUGAGGCAGGGGGAUUGCUACAAGCUUGAGGCUAGCUUGGGCCACAUAGUGUGAUGCAGGUUAAUCUGGGUCAA